UUUUUUUUUUUUUUUUUUUUUUUUGUCUUUUGUCCUUUUUUAGGGCUGCACUCACGGCAUAUGGAGGUUCCCAGGCUAGGGGUCUAACUGGAGCUGGAGCUGCCGGCCUACACCACAGCAACACCAGAUCUAAGACCCAUUGGCAACCUACACCACAGCUCACGGCAAUGCUGGAUCCUUAACUCACUGAGCAAGACCAGGGAUCGAACCCAGAACCUCAUCGUUCCUAGUCGGAUUUGUUUCUGCUGCGCCACAAGAGAACUCCUUAAAAAAAUCUCUUGAUCACCAAAUCAUUAAUGGUGGUGAACUCCAAAAUAAGGACUGAGACUAGGGUAAGGGAGAGGAAUUUUAUUUUCAUUAGAUGUAUUUCUAACCUUCACAAGUAUGCAUUACUUUUAGCUUAACAAAUAACAGUGUUUAGAAGGUUCUCAUGUGGGCUAGAUGUUAUGUACAUCAUUCAAGGAAGGUAUACAAGGGUAAGGAAGAGACAUUCCUCCUUGUAACCCAAACUGACUGCAUCCUCACCAUAAGGAUUCUUUUAUUAAUUCCCAAGGUUUUGAAUAGGUUUUUGCCUACCACGCAACAUUUAAAUACUGCAAUGUCCUUAUUCUUUUUUUUUUUUUUUUUCUUUUUAGGGCUGCACCUGUGGAGGUUCCCAGGCUAGGGGUCAAAUCAGAGCCUCAGCUGCUGGCCUACACCACAGCCACAGCAAUCAAGGAUCUGAGCCUCGUCUGCAACCUACACCACAAUUCACAGCAACGCCGGAUUCUUUAACCCACUGAGUGAGUAUGAAUUUCAGCAUACAAAACCCAUGGAUGCGCAGGUAGCGGGUGCUCAACAAUGUUUCAAACACAUUCCUUUCACAGUCUUACAUGAUAAGGAAGCAAACCUAUCUUGUAAACAGGUCUCAAUUCAACCUCGCGCAGACUGCCCUUUUUUCUUCUGGAUGCAACAUUGGAUGUCUGAAGGGUAGAAUCCUAACAGGAAUCUGGGGAUUUCUGGCUCUCAGACUCUAGCAGGCUCCUGAGGUUCAUACAGCGAGAGUUUGGACUCUCAAUAUUGAGGGACACUAUUCCCACCAAGCAGCGCUAACUAGAAAAUGUAUCCAAACGGAUUUGGGUCCUGAGUGUGGACAACAGAUACUUAGAUACUGAGGGAUAUACCUACAUUUGGAAAUAAUGGCUUCAAAAAUGACUUCAAUAAACACAUCACCUCUGUAUCUAGUUGUGCUGAGAUCUUAAAAAGAGUCUGGUUCUUUAAAGAUGAGACUGGAGGAAGUUGAACUUGCAAAACUUACAAGACAUUGCUGAAAGGAACAAUAUUUUGCAGCAUAUUUUGCAACACACCACAAAUCCCAACAGAACUAAUUUUGAGUUAAAACAAUGUAACUACCCACAGGAACAUUUUGCAUCCCUAACCUAAUCAUGUCAUGAAUAUUAAAGGAAAAAAAUUUUAUUUGAUAGCGUUUUAUAAUAAAAAAGAUCACUGAACAUCUACCAUGUGCCAGAUACCAAAGUUCUUUUACGUGUGCUUUUUGGUUAUAUUUUAUAAUAUUUCAACCAGAACAAGAAUCUUUCUCUGCACUUACCUCAAUUCAACAGCAUAUUUAAAUGUAAACAAACACACUACCUAAGGUGUUUUAUUAUCAGGGAAAAUAAAGGGAAGGAGGACAUAAAUGAACCAGAAGACAAAAUUAUGCUCAUUUGACACUUAGGCAGAAUUUUCGCAGUUCAGUAAGAAGUGGAUACAACAUUACAAUGUGAGUUUUGAGAAAACACAGACACAGAUGAAACAACUGGAAAAUAAAGCAAGGCAACAAAUGCUGAAUGCCCAAACAAGUGGCUAUGCUAGCAGAGAGGGCUCUGGGAGCUAGGGCUACAAGGCAGAUUAUUGAAGACUUGUCAGAGGUGGGUUGGGGACAGGGGACAGUCUCCCCUUCUAGAUCAUAAAUUCCACAAAGGCAAGGAUGGUGGUUGUUAUCACCUCUCUUCUGUUUCAUCAUCUGUAAAACAUUUCCUAAAGUUCUUUCUAGGUUUCAUACUGUACCUGAGGCAUGGUGAGAGCUAAUCAUAAUCACUCUAAGAUACAGAACCAUAGAGAAAAACCCAAGAGGGCUGGAGCAGCAAUCUUAGGUGGUACCCUGGACAGUGCUCUGAACAGAGAAAGAAGGCAGGCAUUUUCAGAGAGACCACAGCACUCUGCAAAACGUUUAAGGUAGGGAAGCAGUCAUCACCGCUUUCUGCUGAGAAAAGUGAGGCGAGGGGUUAACUAACAUUCCAAAGGUCAUGACUGGAGGAGCCUAAUUUCAAAAAUAUCAGAUUUAUCUGAUACUGAAAGCCACACAGGGAGUGCACACAAGCAAAGAUGUGGAUGAAGGGAUUAACAUUGUGUCUGGACCCAACAGGAAUGCUGAUCCAGUUAGAAGAGACUCUGAACAGGGGAGAAGAGCAGGCAGGUAUCAAAGAUCAGAGUGAAGCCAGGUAUGGGGGAACGAACACUAGGAUGAGGGGUUCAUCAUUCACCCAGUAAGCCUUAGGACCAGAGUCUGAUUCUGAGGCAGGGGAGGCAGUACACGUUUUAGAAAGAUGUGGCAGUGGGCUGGCCACUGACCAUCCUCCUGAAACCUCUCCUACCCUUUAUUUCUCUGGUCCUUUCCCACCAGCCCCUUACCUCCCAAAUUCCACCUUUGCCAUUUACCUUUCCUUAUUGUUCUCCUCCUAAGGGAUGCUGUCCAGUCUCUGGCUUCAAUCCAAGGGCUGCCAACCCUGCUCAAUGUGCUUCUUAACACCAGCCUCUUGGUAUCAGCAGCUGAUGGCUGAGCUUCUACUAAAAUUCCACAGGAAUGGACAUUUCCCCUCCUCUGAAACCAAACUGAUUACCUUCCACCACAAAUGUGUUCCUUUUUCUUAAUCUUUCUUCAUGGCAACAGCGUGACAGGAACAUGGAGCCAACAAUGGGUUCAAGCUGCACCUCUGACACUUGACAGCUAUGUUAUCUUGGGUAAAUCAAUAUUUUGAAGCUCCAGUUUACUGUCUGUGAAAACUGGAUGACAAUAUCUGUACCUGCCUACAUAAGGUUGUUACGAACCACUUUAUUAUUUGUUUUAAUGGCUGCACCUGCAGCAUAUGGAAGUUCUCAGGCUAGGGGCUGAAUUGGAGCUGUAGCCACUGGCCUAUGCUACAGCCACACUGGAUCUGAGCCACAUCUGUGACCAAGCUGCAGCUUGUGGCAGUGUUGGAUCUUUAACCCACUGAGAGAGACUAGAGAUCAAACCGGCAUCCUCAGAGAGACAACACUGGGUCCUUAACCUGCUGUGCCACAAAAGGAACUCCAACCUGUCAUUUUUUAAUGCCUCUAUUUACCACAUCCAACCUGUUAUCAAAUCCCACCUGUUUAGCACCAUUGCCAAAAAAGAAAAAUAUCUACAGCCUCUUAAAAAAAAAAAAAUGCAUUGGCGUAUAGUUGAUUACAACACUGCAUUAGUUUCAGGUUUACAGCAAAGCAAAGCAGUUAUACAUAUAUCCUCUAUGGCCUCUUAAGUAGUCAAGACUUUCCUCUUUGUGAAUCACAUUCAAUUAUGUGUUUUGAGGGAGUGUGUGAAAGACAGGGUGACUAUACGCAUUUUCCCCGAAAGGUCAAACUAUACCACGCCGGUCUCCACCCUACCCCCCACCCCCAAAUGAUAUUCUGGUAGAAGUACUGCACCCACCUAUUCCUUGCACAUUUCCUUUUGGGUAAUGAGAUGUUGGUAACAACACAUGUCUGUUACCCACAAAAAUAAUGGGAAGCAGUCAAACAGGUUAAAACCAGUGCUCAAAUUUCACAUUCCGCCAGUUACUCUCCGUGAAGAACUUAACAUUAUCUACCUGCUUAUAAACCUUUACGGCUUUCCCAUCACCUACUCUGAUACAAAAGGCUCCUUUCAGCACCAGUUCUUUCCAUCUGUCAUGUGGCCAACCUGCUAUUCCCAAACAAGCCAUAUACUUUUUCACAUCUGGUUCUCUCCACCCAGGUGGGCUUAUUUCCCCACAGUUUUGUGGGGAAAUUCUAUUUCUACUCCAGGGCCUGUCCCACGCAAGUCACUGUGGCAGAAUGUACUUUCCAAGAUGGCCACAAGAUGUCCCAUCCCACAUGUUCUUUGUAUAAUGUGAUGCUGCCAUUCCUCCCAAUCAGGUUCUACAUCCCUUCCCCUUAAAAUCAUUUGUACCUGAGAUUGUGGUAGAAGAGACACCAUGUGUGUUUAAGUUUAGUUCAUAAAAGGUAUUAAUGUUUCUGCUUGGUCUUCCUGGGGGCAUUCUUUUUCCAAACCCUGUCAUCGAUCUGUGGGAAAGCUAAACAGCCACAUAGAGAAACCAGGUGUAGGUGUUCAGGUGAAACCACAGCUGAGGUUGAAACUGACAACCACAAUCAACCCUUAAGAUGAUUCCAGUCCCGGCCAUCAUCUGCUUGAGAAUGCACAAAACCCCAAGUGAGAACUGCUCAGCUGAGCCCAACUGAACCUCCGAAUCAUGAAAAUAAAAUGACUGUUGUUUUAGGUUACUAGGUUUUGGGGCGAUUUGUGACACAGCAAUAGCAAAUGGAAUGUCACCUUCUCAGAUGGAGCUUUUCCUGAAAACUCAUCUUGGGAAGAAUUAGUCAUUCUUCUUUGGGACACAGGCUACCUGGCUUCUACCACUAGUUCAGCAAAGCACUUUUUGUAAUUGUUAUGGACAGCAUUGCCCAUCCCCAUUGAAGCCCGACCCACAAAUGCGACAGUAUUUGCAGAUAGGGACUAUUUAUGGAGGUAAUUAAGGUUAAAUGAGGCCAUUAUCCAAUACAACUAGUGUCCAUUUAAGAAGAGGAAGAGGCAUCAGAAGUGCUCACCAACAGAGGAAAGGCAAGCACGUGGUGAGAAGACAGCCAUCUGCAAGUCUGGAAGAGAGAACCUGCUCUUGACUACCUGCUUCUAGAACUGUGAGAAAAUAAAUGCCUGUUGUUUAAACCAUGCAGUCUGGGGUGUCCUGUUGUGGUAGCCUGAGUAGACUAAGAAUGAAUAUAUUUGUUUCCAACAAAUGAGGCUGGGACCUCCCUUCAUCCAUCCCUGUAUCCUGAGAACCUAGCACAAACCUGACACACACCAUGUAGCUGACGAUUAUUUGUCGAAGGAAUGCGCACAAAGCCAUUCAAUUAAGGAAAUUAAGGAUCAAUUAAGAGCAAUUAAGCUGAUAAGGUUGUAGAUCAAAGAGCCUGAACUUGAAAGAGGUAAAAGAUAUUAUCUGAUGAAAUAACAAAUGUGCUGAUAUAAAAAAAAAAUACUAGCUAACAUUUGGUGUCUGCUCUUUAAAGCAGACACAUACUAGAUAACAUGAAUUAUUUCAUUUAAUUUUCAGGAUAGCCUGCACUAUCCUUCCUGGCCCCAAUACUCAUAGGAACUAGUAGAGUCUGGGUAGAAGGCUUGCUCUUUGAUUGAUGCGUUUGAGGUGAUGGCAAGAUAGUCAACUCAGACUGAGACAAGAUAUUAGUGUAAAGGGAAAAAUUACUUACAUGCAGGAGGGGAAUACAAAGAAAGGAGGCACUGUGAUUUGGAAGAACCCUAAAUAUGCAAUGUCACUGAAGUCAGGGGAAAAGAGUUUCAAGAAGGGCGUGCUUAACGCGUGGAAGGCUGCAGAGAGUGGACACUGAAGACUAAAAAAGGCAGCUGAAUAUGAGAAGCAACAAGUCAGCCGUAAGCUUUGAGAGAGAAGUUUCAGCAGAAUAGUGUUCUCCAGACUCCGGCAUCAAAGGACUACGCCAUUACGGAGGGGGAAGCAAGACAGCUAACGGCAGCGACCACUCCUUUUUAAGUAGUUCAGCAGCAAGGGGAAGAACGCUGCCAGAGUAGUAAAAUGAAGCAUCUCUGACUGCAAAAGAGCGGUCGCUAGAGGAGCAGGUAUUGGAAUAAAAGAGGCUCGAACUUUAAGCAGUCAGGCUGAGCGGGAUUUGCAAGAGUCGAUUAGGCUGGUCCUACAGAGACAAGAAGGGCGCAGAGCCAGCCUAGAGGAAAAAGCAGUCUGUUGAGUCCCUGCAGCGGUGACGGAUGGGGCUAGUCCCAAAAGUCCAACGCUUCUCGCCAAGGAGGCAGCGUGGACACUAGCGCCGAGGGGCCUCCAGCUGACCUCUGGGAACCUGUUUCUGCGCCGGCUCUACUUCCCAGCUCCCAAGCCGCCUGACGUCUGCCAAGGAGGCCAGGAGCGCCCGCGCCUCCUGGAGAGGCCCACAGAGGCAGACC
ensembl:lncRNA